AACGAACGCUGGCGGCAUGCCUAACACAUGCAAGUCGAACGAGAUCUUCGGGUCUAGUGGCGCACGGGUGCGUAACGCGUGGGAAUCUGCCCUUUGGUUCGGAAUAACAGUUGGAAACGACUGCUAAUACCGGAUGAUGACGAAAGUCCAAAGAUUUAUCGCCAGAGGAUGAGCCCGCGUAGGAUUAGCUAGUUGGUGUGGUAAAGGCGCACCAAGGCGACGAGCCUUCGCUGGUCUGAGAGGAUGAUCAGCCACACUGGGACUGAGACACGGCCCAGACUCCUACGGGAGGCAGCAGUGGGGAAUAUUGGACAAUGGGCGAAAGCCUGAUCCAGCAAUGCCGCGUGAGUGAUGAAGGCCUUAGGGUUGUAAAGCUCUUUUACCCGGGAUGAUAAUGACAGUACCGGGAGAAUAAGCUCCGGCUAACUCCGUGCCAGCCGCCGCGGUAA
rnacentral:rRNA from 1 species